ACUAACAAGGAUUCCCCUAGUAACUGCGAGUGAAGCGGGAAAAGCUCAAAUUUAAAAUCUGGCAGUCUCUGGCUGUCCGAGUUGUAAUCUAGAGAAGUAAUGCCCGUGCUGGACCGUGUAUAAGUCUCCUGGGAUGGGGCGUCAUAGAGGGUGAGAAUCCCGUCUUUGACACGGACUACCAGUGCAUUGUGGUAUGCUCUCAAAGAGUCGAGUUGUUUGGGAAUGCAGCUCAAAAUGGGUGGUAAAUUCCAUCUAAAGCUAAAUAUUGGCGAGAGACCGAUAGCGAACAAGUACCGUGAGGGAAAGAUGAAAAGAACUUUGGAAAGAGAGUUAAACAGUACGUGAAAUUGCUGAAAGGGAAACGCUUGAAGUCAGUCGCGUUGGCCGGGGAUCAGCCUUGCUUUUGCAUGGUGUACUUUCUGGUUGACGGGUCAGCAUCAAUUUUGACCACUGGAAAAGGUUCAAGGGAAUGUGGCAGCUUCGGCUGUGUUAUAGCCCCUGUUCACAUACAGUGGUUGGGAUUGAGGAACUCAGCACGCCGCAAGGCCGGGUUUCGACCACGUUCGUGCUUAGGAUGCUGGCAUAAUGGCUUUAAGCGACCCGUCUUGAAACACGGACCAAGGAGUCUAACAUGCCUGCGAGUAUUUGGGUGGAAAACCCGAGUGCGCAAUGAAAGUGAAAGUUGAGAUCCCUGUCGUGGGGAGCAUCGACGCCCGGACCAGAACUUUUGGGACGGAUCCGCGGUGGAGCAUGUAUGUUGGGACCCGAAAGAUGGUGAACUAUGCCUGAAUAGGGUGAAGCCAGAGGAAACUCUGGUGGAGGCUCGUAGCGAUUCUGACGUGCAAAUCGAUCGUCAAAUUUGGGUAUAGGGGC
rnacentral:rRNA from 1 species